rnacentral:rRNA from 1 species
UAAAGAAUCUUUCGCAAUGGGGGAAACCCUGACGAAGCAACACCGCGUGGAGGAUGAAGGCGUUUUCGUUGUAAACUCCUUUUCUGAAGGAAUAACUUUGAAGGUACUUCAGGAAUAAGUAGCGGCUAACUACGUGCCAGCAGCCGCGGUAAUACGUAGGCUACAAGCGUUAUCCGGAAUUAUUGGGCGUAAAGCGUACGCAGGCGGUCUGUUAAGUUGGAUGUUAAAGCCCUGAGCUCAACUCAGGACAGGUAUCCAAUACUGGCAGGCUGGAGAUAGGCAGAGGAAAGUGGAAUUCUGUAUGUAGGGGUAAUAUCCGUAGAUAUACAGAGGAACACCAAAAGCGAAGGCAGCUUUCUGGGCCUUUUCUGACGCUCAUGUACGAAAGCGUGGGGAGCAAACAGG